rnacentral:lncRNA from 1 species
UAUCUUGAAACCUAACUUGACGGAAAAAGUGAUGUAUUUGCAAGCUUCGUUUUUAGAAAACAAAAGUAUUCAACAUGGCUGCCCAACAAACAUGUCAGAGAAGAUGUGAACACGAAAAAAGCAUACAGAAGUGAAAAAGAAACAAAAUUAAAACCAGAGGAAACGAGUCAGCGACGGAGGCGAAGCGAAGGCUGAAACCGAGGCUUCGGUGAUGAAGAUGAAGAUGGUGAAGUCUGGGCGCGGAACAAGUUUUCAAAACUUGCUACAAAGGUGUCUUUAAAAAUCUUUUAAUUUCGACUCCUUCCCCCGACGGUUCACCCUUCUUUUUUGCCCGUUCGAGCAAAGUGCAAAUUUGCUGUCGUCAGUGGGCAACUGAAAAUGGAGCUUGAGAAGGAGCUCCAAAGCGCCUGGGAGCUGGGAGUCGCCGCCCGCCUUUUAAUGAAGCGCGAAGUGCAGAAAAUGUAUUUGUAUCUCUUACUGCACAAGAAGAAAUAUCUCACGAUUCGGUUCACAUUGUUCAGGCUCUAUCAGAAAACGUUAUAUAUUUGUUUCAUUUUAAGCCAUAUCGAUUACGUUUUCAAAUAAUAUCAAUUAAGUAUUCCAUCAAAAGUAUAUUCGU